GUGGGGAAUUUUGGACAAUGGGCGCAAGCCUGAUCCAGCAAUGCCGCGUGCAGGAAGAAGGCCUUCGGGUUGUAAACUGCUUUUGUACGGAACGAAACGGUCCUGGUUAAUACCCGGGGCUAAUGACGGUACCGUAAGAAUAAGCACCGGCUAACUACGUGCCAGCAGCCGCGGUAAUACGUAGGGUGCAAGCGUUAAUCGGAAUUACUGGGCGUAACGCGUGCGCAGGCGGUGCUGUAAGACAGGCGUGAAAUCCCCGGGCUUAACCUGGGAAUUGCGCUUGUGACUGCAGUGCUGGAGUGCGGCAGAGGGGGAUGGAAUUCCGCGUGUAGCAGUGAAAUGCGUAGAUAUGCGGAGGAACACCGAUGGCGAAGGCAAUCCCCUGGGCCUGCACUGACGCUCAUGCACGAAAGCGUGGGGAGCAAACAGGAUUAGAUACCCUAGUAGUCC
rnacentral:rRNA from 1 species